rnacentral:rRNA from 1 species
GUCGAACGGAACUGUUUUGAAAGAUUUCUUCGGAAUGAAUUUGAUUUAGUUUAGUGGCGGACGGGUGAGUAACGCGUGAGUAACCUGCCUUCAAGAGGGGGAUAACAUUCUGAAAAGAAUGCUAAUACCGCAUGAUAUAUCGGAACCACAUGGUUCUGAUAUCAAAGAUUUUAUCGCUUGAAGAUGGACUCGCGUCCGAUUAGUUAGUUGGUGAGGUAACGGCUCACCAAGACCGCGAUCGGUAGCCGGACUGAGAGGUUGAACGGCCACAUUGGGACUGAGACACGGCCCAGACUCCUACGGGAGGCAGCAGUGGGGGAUAUUGCGCAAUGGGGGCAACCCUGACGCAGCAACGCCGCGUGAAGGAUGAAGGUUUUCGGAUUGUAAACUUCUUUUAUUAAGGACGAAAAAUGACGGUACUUAAUGAAUAAGCUCCGGCUAACUACGUGCCAGCAGCCGCGGUAAUACGUAGGGAGCAAGCGUUGUCCGGAUUUACUGGGUGUAAAGGGUGCGUAGGCGGCUUUGCAAGUCAGAUGUGAAAUCUAUGGGCUCAACCCAUAAACUGCAUUUGAAACUGUAGAGCUUGAGUGAAGUAGAGGCAGGCGGAAUUCCCCGUGUAGCGGUGAAAUGCGUAGAGAUGGGGAGGAACACCAGUGGCGAAC